UACGGGGGGAGCAAGCGUUGUUCGGAUUUACUGGGCGUAAAGGGCGGGUAGGCGGCCACCGCAAGUCGACUGUGAAAUCUCCGGGCUUAACCCGGAAAGGUCAGCCGAUACUGCGGGGCUAGAGUGCAGAAGGGGCAACUGGAAUUCUCGGUGUAGCGGUGAAAUGCGUAGAUAUCGAGAGGAACACCUGCGGCGAAGGCGGGUUGCUGGGCCGACACUGACGCUGAAGCGCGAAAGCCAGGGGAGCGAACGGG
rnacentral:rRNA from 1 species